rnacentral:rRNA from 1 species
AAUCAAGCGCGAGAAGGGCGUUUGGUGGAUGCCUUGGCAGUAAGAGGCGAUGAAGGACGUGAUACUCUGCGAUAAGUCAUGGUUAGCCGAGAAUAGGCUUUGAUCCAUGAAUCUCCGAAUGGGGCAACCCACCUGAUACUCGGUUAUUAUUAGCCCUCGUGGUUAUUGAUAAUCGGGUAAAACAGGUACUUAUUACCUGAAUACAUAGGGUUUUAAGAGCAAACCCGGGGAACUGAAACAUCUAAGUACCCGGAGGAAAGGACAUCAAUAGAGACUCCCCUAGUAGCGGCGAGCGAACGGGGACCAGCCGAGCCUUGAGUGUGAAUAGAAUGGUCUGGAAAGACCAACCAUAGUGGGUGACAGUCCCGUAUAUGAAGCACGAUAGGACGUAUCAAGUAGGGCGGAACACGUGAAAUUCUGUCUGAAGAUCGGGGGACCACCCCCGAAGGCUAAGUACUCCUUACUGACCGAUAGUGAACCAGUACCGUGAGGGAAAGGUGAAAAGCACCCCGACGAGGGGAGUGAAACAGUACCUGAAACCGGACGCCUACAAACAGUCGGAGCUUGACUGGACUCUAAUGAUAAUCUGCGCCAUGACCGUUCGGAAACGAAUGGAGAAAAUCAUGGCUGACGGAACCUUUGCAGUAUUGAUGCUCGUACUCGGUCUGACCGACAUGAGCCGCAACCACUGCGGCACCGAGAGCGGGUGCCUUGGCAAGUCGGAGACGACGCCAAGGUUUGCGAUCUCGGCAGGCCAGGUUCUUGAGCGGCGCGCAAGCGAAGCCAGCGAAAUCUAUCUGCGCUACGAUCUGGGUCACAACCGUGGCCCCUUCGGAAGUGCGGCGGGACUUUCGGUUGGCGAGCAUGGUGAGACAUGGGUUGGCUUCGGCCAGACCUAUACGAUCCAGAUGCGGAACGCGCCGAUCUUUGCGCAAUUGCACUCCAUGCCGGGUCUGUACCUGGAUAAUGGAGGGUUCGACCUGGGUGGUCCGAUCGAGUUUAGAUCGGGGAUCGAGGUUGGCUACGAGAACGACCGCGGUUGGCGGUUUGGUCUCAGCUACGACCAUCGGUCGAAUGCCGGGAUCUACGACGACAACCCCGGGAUCGAGACCGUGCAGUUCCGUGUCAGUGUUCCUACGCGGUAGGGAUGCGGCAGCAAAACAUAAUCAGCACCUGGAAUUGAUAGGGGGUUGCCUCCCGGGACAUUGCUUUGCAAUGCCCUGCCGGCAACUUGCCAAUCAUUUGCAGGCAAAUGAUUGUCAUUAGUGUCCAGUCUUGUGACGGCGUACCUUUUGUAUAAUGGGUCAUCGACUUGGUCUAUCUAGCAAGCUUAAGCCGUUAGGUGUAGGCGCAGCGAAAGCGAGUCUUAAUAGGGCGUCGAGUUAGAUGGAUCAGACCCGAAACCGAGUGAUCUAGGCAUGACCAGGAUGAAGGUAAGGUAACACUUACUGGAGGUCCGAACCCACACCUGUUGAAAAAGGUCGGGAUGAGUUGUGCCUAGGGGUGAAAGGCCAAUCAAACUCGGAGAUAGCUGGUUCUCUGCGAAAUCUAUUUAGGUAGAGCGUCAUCCGAAUACCCCGGGGGGUAGAGCACUGGAUGGGUAAUGGGGCCCCACAGGCUUACUGAUCCUAACCAAACUCCGAAUACCCGGGAGUACUAGAUGGCAGACACACUGCGGAUGCUAACGUCCGUAGUGAAGAGGGAAACAACCCUAACCUCCAGCUAAGGCCCCUAAUUCAUGGCUAAGUGGGAAAGCAGGUGGGACGACCAAAACAACCAGGAGGUUGGCUUAGAAGCAGCCAUCCUUUAAAGAUAGCGUAACAGCUCACUGGUCUAAACAAGUUGUCCUGCGGCGAAGAUGUAACGGGGCUCAAGCCAUGAGCCGAAGCUGAGGAUGCCGUAAGGCAUGGUAGCAGAGCGUAGUGUGACAUAGUCUCAUGUGUCCUUACCCACUUCGGUGGGAUUGGACACAAGAGGCUUUCUGUGAAGCCGGCGCGUGAGCGAUCCGGUGGAGAGAUCACUAGCGAGAAUGAUGACAUGAGUAGCGACAAAGAGUGUGAGAGACACUCUCGCCGAAAGUCCAAGGGUUCCUGCUUAAAGCUAAUCUGAGCAGGGUAAGCCGACCCCUAAGGCGAGGCCGAAAGGCGUAGUCGAUGGGAACCAGGUUAAUAUUCCUGGGCCAGAUGGAAGUGACGGAUCAUGAAGGUUGUUCACCCUUAUUGGAUUGGGUGGGCCGCUCAUUGGUCCCUGGAAAUAGCUCCAUCAUGAGAUCGUACCCUAAACCGACACAGGUGGACUGGUAGAGAAUACCAAGGCGCUUGAGAGAACGAUGUUGAAGGAACUCGGCAAAAUACCUCCGUAAGUUCGCGAGAAGGAGGCCCGGUUCCUAGGCAACUAGGGGCUGGGGGCACAAACCAGGGGGUGGCGACUGUUUACUAAAAACACAGGGCUCUGCGAAGUCGCAAGACGACGUAUAGGGUCUGACGCCUGCCCGGUGCCUGAAGGUUAAAAGGAGGGGUGCAAGCUCUGAAUUGAAGCCCAGGUAAACGGCGGCCGUAACUAUAACGGUCCUAAGGUAGCGAAAUUCCUUGUCGGGUAAGUUCCGACCUGCACGAAUGGCGUAACGACUUCCCCGCUGUCUCCAACAUCGACUCAGCGAAAUUGAAUUGCCGGUCAAGAUGCCGGCUACCCGCGGUUAGACGGAAAGACCCCGUGCACCUUCACUACAGCUUCGCACUGGCAUCAGACACAACAUGUGCAGGAUAGGUGGUAGGCUUCGAAGCAGGGACGCCAGUCUCUGUGGAGCCUCCCUUGAGAUACCACCCUUGUUCUGUUUGAUGUCUAACCGCGGUCCGUUAUCCGGAUCCGGGACCCUGCGUGGCGGGUAGUUUGACUGGGGCGGUCGCCUCCUAAAGCGUAACGGAGGCGCGCGAAGGUUGGCUCAGAGCGGUCGGAAAUCGCUCGUUGAGUGCAAUGGCAUAAGCCAGCCUGACUGCGAGACUGACAAGUCGAGCAGAGACGAAAGUCGGCCAUAGUGAUCCGGUGGUCCCAAGUGGGAGGGCCAUCGCUCAACGGAUAAAAGGUACGCCGGGGAUAACAGGCUGAUACUGCCCAAGAGUCCAUAUCGACGGCAGUGUUUGGCACCUCGAUGUCGGCUCAUCUCAUCCUGGGGCUGGAGCAGGUCCCAAGGGUAUGGCUGUUCGCCAUUUAAAGAGGUACGUGAGCUGGGUUUAGAACGUCGUGAGACAGUUCGGUCCCUAUCUGCCGUGGGUGUAGGAGAUUUGAGAAGAGUUGCCCCUAGUACGAGAGGACCGGGGUGAACGAACCACUGGUGGACCUGUUGUUGCGCCAGCAGCAGUGCAGGGUAGCUAUGUUCGGACAGGAUAACCGCUGAAGGCAUCUAAGCGGGAAGCCCCCUUCAAAACAAGAUCUCCCUGAGGGCCGUGGAAGACCACCACGUCGAUAGGCCAGAGAUGUAAGCAUGGUAACAUGUUCAGUUGACUGGUACUAAUUGCCCGAUAGGCUUGAUUUG